rnacentral:tRNA from 1 species
GGUCUCGUAGUUCAAUGGAUAGAACCGCGGCGUCCUAAGCCGUUGAUGUAGGUUCGAUUCCUACCGAGACCACCA